AAGCGAAAGCUUUGCUAAUACCGCAUACGAUCUCAGGAUGAAAGCAGGGGACCGCAAGGCCUUGCGCUCACGGAGCGGCCGAUGGCAGAUUAGGUAGUUGGUGGGAUAAAAGCUUACCAAGCCGACGAUCUGUAGCUGGUCUGAGAGGACGACCAGCCACACUGGGACUGAGACACGGCCCAGACUCCUACGGGAGGCAGCAGUGGGGAAUUUUGGACAAUGGGCGCAAGCCUGAUCCAGCCAUGCCGCGUGCAGGAUGAAGGCCUUCGGGUUGUAAACUGCUUUUGUACGGAACGAAAAGACUCUGGUUAAUACCUGGGGUCCAUGACGGUACCGUAAGAGUAAGCACCGGCUAACUACGUGCCAGCAGCCGCGGUAAUACGUAGGGUGCGAGCGUUAAUCGGAAUUACUGGGCGUAAAGCGUGCGCAGGCGGUUAUGUAAGACAGAUGUGAAAUCCCCGGGCUCAACCUGGGAACUGCAUUUGUGACUGCAUAGCUAGAGUACGGCAGAGGGGGAUGGAAUUCCGCGUGUAGCAGUGAAAUGCGUAGAUAUGCGGAGGAACACCGAUGGCGAAGGCAAUCCCCUGGGCCUGUACUGACGCUCAUGCACG
rnacentral:rRNA from 1 species